rnacentral:rRNA from 1 species
ACCCUGGGCCAUACCACCCUGAACACGCCUGAUCUCGGUAGCUAAGCAGGGUCAGGCCUGGUUAGUACUUGGAUGGAGGUCCACCUGGUAAUAUCAAGUGCUGUAAGCA